UACGUAGGGUGCGAGCGUUGUCCGGAAUUAUUGGGCGUAAAGAGCUUGUAGGCGGUCUGUCGCGUCUGCUGUGAAAAUCCGGGGCUCAACCCCGGACUUGCAGUGGGUACGGGCAGACUAGAGUGUGGUAGGGGAGACUGGAAUUCCUGGUGUAGCGGUGAAAUGCGCAGAUAUCAGGAGGAACACCAAUGGCGAAGGCAGCUCGCCGGAACGGUACUGACGCUGAGGCGCGAAAGCGUGGGGAGCGAACAGG
rnacentral:rRNA from 1 species